rnacentral:rRNA from 1 species
CGUAGGGUGCAAGCGUUAAUCGGAAUUACUGGGCGUAAAGCGUGCGCAGGCGGUUAUGUAAGACAGAGGUGAAAUCCCCGGGCUCAACCUGGGAACUGCCUUUGUGACUGCAUAGCUAGAGUACGGCAGAGGGGGAUGGAAUUCCGCGUGUAGCAGUGAAAUGCGUAGAUAUGCGGAGGAACACCGAUGGCGAAGGCAAUCCCCUGGGCCUGUACUGACGCUCAUGCACGAAAGCGUGGGGAGCAAACAGGAUUAGAUACCCUGGUAGUCCACGCCCUAAACGAUGUCAACUGGUUGUUGGGUCUUCACUGACUCAGUAACGAAGCUAACGCGCGAAGUUGACCGCCUGGGGAGUACGGCCGCAAGGUUG